GUUCGUGAGGCUAUUUAUAUUGCAUCAUAGUACUCAUCAAAAACUGCAAAUUAAACCCACUCUCCUCAUCUUCUGUACCAUAUUUCUUCUCUCUAUAAGCUGAACGAUGAUGAUGACGAUGAUACAUAUUAAUCAAGGCAGUGGGUAGCAGGUGAUCAUAGUCUCACAUCAAUUGGGAUAUGUAUCCUGGUUGGCAAGGCAUGCAAAACCAAAAGGGUUUGACGCCAUUGCUGUCUCUUUCAUCAAAAUCAUGUGACCCAUUCAUUCCAAAGUCCACAGAGUGUUAAAAGCUAGCCAUAUCCAUAUAUGCAUGGGUGCUUUUUGAAUCUUUAGUUAGAUCCAUGGGGGGAUGCUGGAACUCUUGCUAAAAAAAAUGAUUACAUGCAAAUAACAAGUUUGGCAUUACUAUCCUUGUUGCUAUGUUCAAAGUUCAAACUUUCUUUCUGGGUCAUAAAGAUACAACUCAUGGCCCCCCACACGACUACUACUGUUAUUAUUUGUUGUUAGCUUUAGCCUCGGCUUUGCUUUUCACUUUCCGUUUAUUUAUUAGACGCUUUCCGUUCCAAUGUUUCCUCCUCCUGUAAGGCUGUAACUACUUUCGGAUUUUGGGACCUCAACUCGCAAUUAUGGCUUCGCCUCCGUUGUUUGUUUGUUUGCCUUCAUUUGGUUGGCUUUCUACUUCCACUUCAUCAGUCGAGCUGGGUUUGACUGGUUGGUGAGAUUGCAUCGAUGAUUAACAAAGAGUUGGUUGGACAGUGGAGGAUUCAUGUGUUCUUUUCUAGAGUUGAAUAUUGGAUAGGUG
rnacentral:lncRNA from 1 species